UCAUGUAUAUUUUUACACACACGUAUAUAUGUAGUUGACAGUAUAUAUAUGAGUGUGUUUCUCUCUCAUUCCCUCCCACUACCAAUUAAUAAAUAAUUGCACGCUGACACUAGUCCUAUCCUUGAUGGAAGUUAACUUUGUUAGUACAGGUAGCCGAUACAGAUACCAAUGAUCAUGGAAAGUGUACGCAAGACUGUGCUUUUAGCCAUAGUGUGCAAGAUGUCAAACUUUUGCACCUGAAAGAGUUUGCUGUUGUCUCUGAGUAACAGUAUCAACUGCCACGCUGGAGAAUAAUUGUAUUGCUCACCAAUCAGGAUAACAGGAUGAGUCAAGCAAAUAAUAGUAUGGAAAUGAAAGGAUAAGCUGUGAAUAAUGAAUACAAAAUUAUUUUUUUUUCUUCUAUCUUAAGAGAGUUUUGGAAGGAAAAGGUGUGUUGUAGCUGUUGUUCACCUUCAGUUUUUCAGAGGAAUGUUUUGUAUGCUACUUUGUGAAAUGCUUUUUGGCCCACUGAAAUGUAUCUGUUACCACCUGUUCUUGUGAAAAGUUUUGCUAUGGAUUCUCUCAUAUCUUCAAGGCAAGAUUGCAACAAACUUGAUCUCCAGAUUUCCUUUUUCUUGUCAGCUGAAAAACCCUGCAGUUUGAAUGUGUCCUGGAAGGUUGGCUCUGGCAGACUAGCUGUUGCCUCUUCCACCUCCAAACCUCCAGUAAAUGCUAGAUACCUUAUCGUGUAGUUUGUACUUUGCAUAUCAUACUAAGUUUUUCAUUUAAAAAUAAAGCAACAACUUGGAAGUAAAAACAUGUUAUCACAACAAAGUCAUGUAAGAAGUGUUGAUGAUCCAUUUUCAUUUUUCAAUUGUCUAAUACACUUCCAGGUAUCUUGAUUCGUGCAAGAGUUGUGUGUAGAUGUCUUGUCACCAAAACUGACACAAUAAACAGGGGUUACAGAACUUUUGUAUAAAACCUACUACUUGGUAUGCACAAUAAAUCAUACAAAGUUACAGGCACCAUUAAAAGAAGAUGAAACCCGUUCAUGGAACCAUUUGCUUAGUCUGAUAAUUUAAAUCUGUAAAAAAAUAAGUGUUACAUCUAUGACAGAAACGUUAUUCGAAUUUGCUUUUAAUUUUACCUGGUGGCAGGGGAGCAUUAAGUCAUUGUUAAUUCACUCAGAGAUUAAAAUUGAUUAAACUAAUGGAAAUGCAUGUUUUAUUGACUUAGUCCUGUUCAAGCUCUGUCUGCUUGUCCCUGGUGGGCAUGGUCUCAAUUUACAGGGAAAUACACUCAGCAUCAGAGUAAUGGACCUAAAAAUACCAACCUCUAUUCAUGCAGGUUCUUGUUCUUUUGUAUAAUGCUUUGAAUAUAUAUUGUGAAAGAAGUUUUACUGGUCUGUUCCUGUUCAAAUGCUACAAAUGGUAGCAUAAAAAUUGUUAUAAAGUAGUCAAAUUUUAUGUAAAUAUUCCCAAAAUAU